UACGAAGGGGGCUAGCGUUGCUCGGAAUCACUGGGCGUAAAGCGCACGUAGGCGGCUUUCUAAGUCAGGGGUGAAAUCCUGGAGCUCAACUCCAGAACUGCCUUUGAUACUGGGAAGCUCGAGUCCGGAAGAGGUGAGUGGAACUCCGAGUGUAGAGGUGAAAUUCGUAGAUAUUCGCAAGAACACCAGUGGCGAAGGCGGCUUACUGGUCCGGUUCUGACGCUGAGGCGCGAAAGCGUGGGGAGCAAACAGG
rnacentral:rRNA from 1 species